GCCCGGGCUGCGCGGGGAACCUGGAGGGCAGGAGCAGGCGGGAGUUGUUGCUUCGGGGCGCAGGGUCCAGACCUUGCCGAGACCGGCGUUGGGAGCUAGCAGAACCGGGAAGAGGCUCGAUUGUGUCCGGUGGGGCCGCCGGGAGCCUCGGCGACCUUUGUCUCCUGCCUGGCUCCUGCACUGGAGUGUGACCCGGGGCGCUGCAGCUGCUUGUGUGUGUGUGUGUGUGUGUGUGUGUGUGUGUGUGCGCGCGCGCGCGCGCGCGCGCGUGUGUGUAAGAGGGAGGAGAAGAGGAGACAGAAACGGUGGGAGGGGUGGAUUCCGCGUGCCCGUGUGCUUAUGUGUGAAGGAAAGUCCUGACUAUAUUUGGGAUUUGUUGCUCUGUGUGUAUAUGUGCGUGUGUGUGUUUGCUAUAUUUGGGGUUCGUUGCUGUGUGUGUGUCCGCUGUAUUUGAGGUUUGUUGCUGUGUGUGUGUGUCCGGUAUAUUUGGGGUUUGUUGCCGUGUGUGUGUGUGUGUGUGUGUGUGUGUGUGUGUGUGUGUAAGAGAGGAAGAGAGAUGAGGAGACAGAAAGUGGGGGAGGGGUGGAUUCCGCGUGCCCGUGUGUUUAUAUGUGAAGGAAAGCCCUGACUGAUUUAUUUGGGAUUCGUUGCCGUCCAGGGACUUCAGGACAACCUGUGUCCGCUAUAUUUGAGGUUUGUUGCCGUGUGUCUGUGUGUCGCUAUAUUUGGGGUUCGUUGCUGUGAGUGUCUACUAUAUUUGGGGUUUGUUCUGUGUGUGUCCACUAUAUUUGGGGUUCAUUGCUGUGUGUGUGUGUCUGCUAUAUUUGAGGUUUGUUGCUGUGUGUGUGUCUCCGCUAUAUUUAGGGUUCAUUGCUGUGUGUUUGUGUGUCUGCUAUAUUUGGGGUUCGUUGCUGUGUGUGUGUGUCCGCUGUAUUUGGGGUUUGUUGCUGUGUGUGUGUGUGUCCCCGUGAUAGAGGGGUGAGGGAGGGAAUGGUAGCAAAGCAGAGAGAAGGAGCCGUGGCUCUCUAGGCGUGUGAAUUUGCAGGUCCAGGAGAGACACUGUCUCCACGUGUAGGUUUUGUGAGGUCAAGGGAAGGAGGAAGGAACAGAAGACAGCCUGCCUGUGUGUGUGUGUGAUGUGUGAUCUCCACUUUUGGGUCCUGUUGUACAUGCAUGUUAAUGUGGUAGAAAGAAAUGUGGUGUCCCUGUUGUAAACAAGUUGUGAAAAAAUCCUGGGUUUUUGUGGUGUAGUUUGCGUGUGUUGUACGUGCCCACACAAAAGAGGGACAUGGCUGUGAUUUGGUACAACUUUGUGUGUAACCCAGUUUGCAAGAGACAUCGAGAUAAAAACAUUGUGUGUGUGGUGACACUGUGGUCUUUGUGUGUGACUGUUGUGUGACUUUUGUGAUCAUCUAUAUUUGGGUUGGGCUGAGAAAGAGAAACUACUGUGUAGGGGGCAUAAUGAGUGUAUGUUCAGGAGAAAGACAUCCUGGCGGCAUUGGGAUUUGGGCUUUGAAGGAUGUCUAAGAGUUCAUUAGGCCAGACAGAAUGCUCGUGAGGCCAGAGGGAAAGAUCCGGGGAAUCCUGCCUAUCAGCCAACGGGGGUGAGGAGGCUGUAGUGGUGGGUGACCAGGGUGAAUUUGGAAACAGAACCUACUGCCAGCAAGGAAGAGGAGGAGCAACUGACUGCAACCCUUGCCCAGGUGCUGACCCAGAGUGGCCCUGGAUGCGUCUGGGCACACAGAGUCAUUCUAAAGCGGACCAUCUGUUCCUGGGCAGUUUGUUUGGGAACCUGGAGGGCGGGGAGGGGCUCUGUGGAAAUAACUCUAUGUUGCUCCUUCCUUCCAGCAGCAUUCCAAAUUCUUCAGUGUGGAGGACUCAGGGAGGUCGAAAAGCUCCUUGAGUGCAGCAGUUGGGAGCAUGGUGAAGGGGGGAGGGUCUGGCCGUGUCUGCAAGGUGACCAGACCUGAAGGUCCAGAGCCCCCCUCCAUCAUGGGGUACUUAAACUAUCAGCUGCCCUGGCCUGGUGUCCGAUUCCUGACUAUUCCUCAAGUGUCUUCCUAAGAAUCAUAGCCUGAUGCCUGCAGAGACAUUGAAGAUCCAGGGACACACAAAAAUGAAACCCAGUUAUCCUGGCACUCCACUUGCCAGCAAUGUGAUUAUGUUCUCUUCUCUCUGAGCUCCCGUUUUUGCCUCUGUAAAAUGGUGUUCAUAAUUCUUACCCACCUCACUGUACUGUUGUAAAGAUUUAAGGAGUUAAUAUACCUCGUGGGCCUUUUGUAACUUAACAAACCGCUAGAAAGCCUUUAAGCAUUGCUCCAUUUACAAAAAGUUCAAAAAAUAAGCAAAAUUAGACCUGUGCUGUCAGAAGUUAGGUUUGUGUUAUCUUUGGGGAGGGAAUGACUGGAAAGGGGCACCAGGGAAGCUUCUGGGUGCUAGUAAGGGUUAGGUACGGAGGAGGGAGUAGUUCAGUUGUGAAAAAUUGAGCAGUCUCCUUAGGAUCUAUGUGCUUUUCUGUCUCUGUUACUCUCUAACAAGAAGUUUCCAAAAGAAAAAAGGGCCAGGUGCAGUGGCUCAUACCUGUAAUCCCAGCACUUUGAGAGGCCAAGGCAGGCGGAUCACCUGAGGUCAGGAGUUCAAGACCAGUGUGGCCAACAUGACAAAACUCGUCUCUACUAAAAAUACAAAUAAAUUACCCGGGCAUGGUCGUGGGCACCUGUAAUUCCAGCUACUCAGGAGGCUGAGACAGGAGAAUCGCUUGGACCGAGGAGGCGGAGGUUGCAGUGAGCUGAAUCACGCCGCUGCCCUCCAGCCUAGGUGACAGAGAGACUCCAUUUCAAAAAAAAAAAAAAAAAAAAAAAGGCAGGGCUCAGUGGUGGAUCACUUGAGAUCAGGAGUUUGAGACCAGCCUGGCCAACAUGGCAAAACUCCAUCUCUACUAAAAUACAAAAAUUAGCUGGGCAGGGUGGCGGGUGCCUAUAAUCCCAGCUACUCCGGAGGCUGAGGCAGGAGAAUCACUUGAACGUGGGAGGCAGAGGUUGCAGUGAGCUGAGAUCGAGCCACUGCACUCCAGCCUGGGCGACAGUGAGAAUCCGGCAAAAAAAAAAAAAAAAAAAAAAAAAAAAAAAAAUCAGAAGGUCAGGUAUAGGUAUUAUGACCACAUUUUAAUCACUCAUAAAAUGGACAUUCUGGAAUGCUGUAUCAGCUCAGGGCAGAGUACUGGGGACACUAUAUUGAGUAAGGUGUGGUUCUCCUGGCUCUAUGAAGAAAGCAGAGGAGAAAGGCUGUGGCUUUCUUGCUUCUGAAAGGGGCACAUUAAGGAUGGGGCGGGGCGGGCAGGGAGUGAGGGGCAGCAUGCCCAAACCCACUCCAAAGCCACUCACCCGGCUUGACAGCAGAAUCAGGACUAGAACCAAGGCCUCCCAAGGUGAUGGCUGAGUCUUUUCCAUUCUACCAGGCUGCUCCAGAAAACGCAGCCCCUGGUCUUAUGCUGCUCAAACGGAAGCAAGCAAGUGAGGUUUGCUGCCGACUCUGACCCUUACCUCCAACUCCUCCAGGAUCUUCAGAGAUCACCUCAUCCAAACAGCUUUCUGGGAACGGCCAGCCAUAACAAAUGCUAAGCAUUUAUUAUGUGCCAGACAUGGUGGCAGGUGCUUUGCAGCAUUAUCUGAGUGAUUCUCACAAUUCUAUGUGGUAGGUGCUAGGAUUCCCACAUCACCUCCAUAUUGCAGGUGAGAAAAUCAAUGUUCAGAGAGGGAAAGUGAUUUGCCCGAGAAGACACAGCUAGUUUGAGGGGCUUUGCUCCUUUGCUGGCAUGCAGCUGCUUCUGUUGGUAUUCAUGGGCUCGCCAUGCCCUCUGACAGACACAAGUGGUUUCAUGACAGGAGAAGGUGUCCCCUGUUAGACUGCUGGAGACUGGAUGAGAUGUGGGGAGUUGCCCCUUCCAAAUACUCAAGCCUCUGGGCACAGGGUCUGCCCCAUCGGAGCAUCAGGGCUCAAAC
rnacentral:lncRNA from 1 species